rnacentral:rRNA from 1 species
GACGUCUACGAGUUUGAUCAUGGCUCAGAACGAACGCUGGCGGCAGGCCUAACACAUGCAAGUCGAGCGCCCCGCAAGGGGAGCGGCGCACGGGUGAGUAACGCGUGGGAAUAUGCCCUGGGGCUGGGGAUAACGGCGGGAAACUGCCGCUAAUACCCGGUACGCCAUGAGUGGGAAAGGAGCAAUCCGCCCUGGGAGUAGCCCGCGUUGGAUUAGCUAGUUGGUGUGGUAAGAGCGCACCAAGGCGACGAUCCAUAGCUGGUCUGAGAGGAUGAUCAGCCACACUGGGACUGAGACACGGCCCAGACUCCUACGGGAGGCAGCAGUGGGGAAUAUUGGACAAUGGGGGCAACCCUGAUCCAGCCAUGCCGCGUGAGUGAAGAAGGCCCUAGGGUUGUAAAGCUCUUUCGCACGCGACGAUGAUGACGGUAGCGUGAGAAGAAGCCCCGGCUAACUUCGUG